CAAAGCGUAGUAAAAACAAAAUUGACCACGACCAGUUGAGGUUGUUGAGAUCGACCUUAAACCUAUUCACAAACCCGAUCUUUCAAUUUUUGUUUGCGGCGGCCUGAAUUGCAGCUAGCAGAGAAUCUGUUCACUGAUUCUUAGUAGAGAAUUGCAGCUAGCAUUAGAAGAAGAACCGGUGAAGACCAAUUCUUAGUAGUUCCUGGGGCGAAGACCAAUUCUUUUCUUUCAGGUUAUUCUUCACUUUGCGAAACCCUAGUUCCCAAUUCAAUACCGAAUCUGGAGAUCUUCUUAGCAUUCAAUCCACGGAGCUCAAAUUACCCUGUCCAAUAUUGUAUGAGCUAGAAGUGUAAAACUUUGGAAAUGUAUUAACAACUUUGGAGACGGAAUUCCAUUGGUUGGUGGAUAAGAAUUGUUGGGUAUGGUGAAGAAGCAUUUGAGCUUUUUGGGGAAAAACAGUAGUUGAAUAUGACGACAUUUUAAACGUCCAAAUUGGACUGCUAUUGUUAAAAUCGUUCAAGCUUGCCUUUGGAUAUGAAGGAGUUUGGUCAUUAAACGUGACCCCUACUUUGCAACGCAGCUUCUAUUUAAUGCAUUUGGAACAAUGGCAAUGGCUAGAGACGUGAGAAUAUUUCUACGUGAGGUCAAAAGUAUCCUGCUAUUUGUUGCUGUGCAGAGUGUUUACAUGAAGCCCUUGCUUACAAUUUUUUUUUACCUAAGUUCAGUUUUUGCUUCGUAAAGCAUGUAGCUAUUGUGCUUCAUUGCACAUAACAAAAUUUCUAAAUUUGUAUUUUGACCAAGCAAAUCAGUGUGCUCCUUCUAUAGAUUUGAGAUGCAUGGGAGUUUAUAGAAUUGUAUGAUGUACAAGAGAGCUUGGGCACAUGUGGAGGCAUUUCACCUUGACCAGGGUGUAGAAAAACCUACUGUAAACAAAUCAAAGAUUGUGCCAUGUCUAAUUG